GACUGCAGCAGCCGCGGAAUUAAUGGGAAAAUCCUAUAUACCAGAAAAGAAGAGAUGCUCUUGCAGUCUAUUGAUAAGGGAUUCUGAAUUUGGCGAUGGGAGUGUAAAAUUUCAGAUCAUGGAUCAUUUGUUGAUUUCCAGCAAUUGGAGUCUUAUGGAAUGGAUCAGUUGUACCUCUGCUAUGUGGUACACUCUGGAUCUUAAAUCAUUUAUAUUGUCUAUGGUUUUUAUGCUCUUUUCAGUUUCUUGAUCAUGUAACCUAAAACUAUUUGAGAGUUGUUUGUGUUUAGGAGUGUAAGAUCAUAUAUCAUGUAAUGUCAGUGGUGGUCUCUUUAUACUUUA